ensembl:snoRNA
AUCCUUUUGUAGUUCAUGAGGAUGAUGAUUGAGUUUUCAUGCACGUGUGUGAGAUGUGCCACCCUGGAACCUUGUUAUGACAUCCGCACGUUACCCAUCUGAUC